CUCCUCUUUAAUUUUUUGGAAGAGUUUCAGGAGGAUUGGUGUUAAUUCUUCUUUAAAUGUAUGGUAGAAUUCUCUAGCUAAAGCCAUCUGAUCCUUUGUUUUUCUUUGAGAUUUUCAAUUACUGAUUCAAUCUUCUUACUAGUUAUUGGUCUGUUCAAAUUUUCUAUUUCUUCAUGAUUCAGUCUUGGUAGGUUUUAUGUUUCUAGACAUUUAUCUGUUUCUUUAGGUUUUGCAACUUAUAGGUAUACAAUUGUUCAUAAUAGUCUCAUAAUCCUUUUUGUGUGUGUGUGUGCCAUCAGUUGUAAUAUCUUCUCUUUCAUUUCUGAUUUUGAGUCUUCUCUUUUUUUCUUAGUUAAUCUAGCUAAAGAUUUUUCAGUUUUGUUGAUCUUUUCAAAAAAUGAACUCUUACUUUCACUGAUUUUUUUUUUCUAUUCUCUAUUUCACUUAAUCCCUGCUCUAAUUUUCAUUAUUUCCUCCCUUCUGCUAGCUUUAGGUUUAGUUUUUUUCUUUGAUUUCUUGAGGAAUUGUGUCACUUUACAGUUCUUUUGUUUGAAUCAGGAUCUAAAAACAAGGUCCAUAUAUUGUAUGUGAUAUAUUUCUUAAGUCUCUCUAAGUCUAUAAGAUACCCUCUCUUCUUAUUUUGUGCCAUUUAUUUGUUAAAGUUAUCUGGAUAUUAUAUCUUGGUAUUUCCUACAUUUUGGAUUUGUGGUGGUGUUUGACAUGUACUAUCCUUCAUAUUUUCUGUAAACUGGUAGAGGUGGACAUCUAUUAAAGUUAGAGCUAGAAGCUAGACAGAUUCAUGUUCAACUUUUCUCCUUUUUUAGUAGGAAGACUUCAUUGCUUUCAGUGAUGCUGAGAUUGACCAGGUGUUGUCAGCUUGGCUCCUCCACUAGAAAGUUCCACAUCAUCUUUCCAUUUAAUGUUUCAGCAGUCGUUGAUGAUUGUUGCCUAAAGUCUUUAGUCUGGUAGGGAUUGUAAAAUGGUGAUUUUUUUUUUAAGUUUGAUACAUUUAAUACAGAAUUUAGUAGGCCAGAGUACUAAAUAGACUUUCUGGGAGUAUUUCGUUGGCUUUUAUCUAUUCAAGAGACAAUGGAAACUUCUUUUACCUCAGUUCUGAAUUUUGAAGGAGUUUUUGUGGCUCUUAGAAGUAUAAUCCUGGGAAUUCACUGGUGGUCCAGUGGUUACGACUCUGCACUCUUGCUGCCGAGGGCCUGGUUUCAAUCCCUGGUCGGAGAGCUUAGAUUCCACAAGCCACACGGUACGGCCAAAAAAAAAAAAAUGAAAAAGAAGUGUAAUUCUGCCUUCAGCCCCCAAAAUGUUGAUUUUUAAUCGCAUUUCUUCUGCAUUUACUAGCUGUGGUUCUUCUACAAAGAAUUCUCUUCAUCAAUUGUUUGGUUAUUCUGAAAAAGUCUGUAGCAAAGGCAAGACAGAUGCUGGAUUCUUCCUCUUUAUUCAUCAGUUUUCAGAAUAAUGAGUUGAUACCCCAGCAGACUUCAGGGAUGACCAAUAAGCUUUUCUUUUAGGUGGGAGGGAGUAUUAUGAAUUUGGCUGUUUUUGCAUAUCUGACGUUUGGAGCUCCUUCAAACUGGCUUCCAUGUCAUUUUGUGUGGCCCUAAUAGUUGUUGAUUGUUUUAGGCUUAUUUUGUAUAUAUUCUGCCCCAGACUUGGAUUAAGUAAGUUCUUAAGGAGCCCUGGUUCCUUUUUGUGGGAAAUAUUUAGAGACCAUAAUUUAAGUGCUAGAGGAGCUACGUGCUACUGGCUAGUGUCAUUUCUUAGCUGUUUCUGUGGCUAUUGCUGGGAAAUAAAUAUUUUUUUAGAAAGAGAAAAAAUUUUAAGUUACAUUAUUUUUUAGAGCAGUUUUAGGUUCAUAGCAAAAUUGAGUGGACGGUACAGAGAUUUCCUGAUUACAGGGCUUUUAGUUAACUUUCUUUGAUUUUAUGUUUGUUUCUAUUUUAUACUGAAAUGUUUGGUUCCUAACAACCCCAUGUAAUUACUUAUUUAUCCUAUUAUGUAUUUUAUAGAUUCAGAAUAGUAAUGAAAUAUUAUUAAUAGGAUGAAAUCUACCGGAUGCAGGUUUAUUUGUUUUAAUGCAGUUCAAGAUGUAUUUUUAUCCUUAGUCUAAAUAUAGUCAAAGUACUAUUUCAAAUUCACUUGAAAUGAUUCCUUCCUUUGUGGACAGUUAGGUCUGUUUUUCACUUUUAAGAAUUAUUUUAUAUUUUUUAAUUUAUUUUUUUAAAACUGUGUACUUACCCUUUCUCUGAGAUGAGGGAGCAGAAUUAAAUCUGUAAAUGUCUGUGAGUCCUGGAGGAUAGGGAACUGAUCCUCAACUUGUUCAUUUCUCCUCCAUUCUGCCACUUCCCCCUCUACUUCCAUUGAAAUUUGCACUCUUUAUCCACAGUCUUUUGGAAUGCUGAACAAAAAUCUUCUUGGAACAAGACAGGCAUAAGUAAAUAAAAUUAAUAAAUCUAUAAGCCACAGCAGAUCAUUCACAAAUUCCUCCAGAUCCAUAUCGCUUAUCACCAUUCAUUCCGUGUGGUGGUUUUUCUUCUACAGCCUGUCUGAUGUAAUGGUGCUUCCAUGACAUUUGAUGUUUGAAAGGCUCUAGCUCUGGCAUUAUCAAUGUGUGUUUUAUAGUCGUCUGCAAUAUUCCUUCUCUUUCUCCUUGUUCUGUGAACUGAGGGAUCUGGGAAGUGUAAACACCCCUCCACCCCUGUCUUCUCCCCUUCUCUUAAUCCCUUUUCCCUCAACCCUAGGGUGCUAGCAGCCUGGGAUGGUUGGGUCUUUGUCACCCUGGAGCUGAGCAGCUCAUGUCAGAAAUUCUCCAGGCUCUUGGGCCUCUGGGGUGAGUUGAGAAGGUAUGUAGGGUGCUGGGGAUGGAGAUCCAUGGAAUAGGUGCUUACCUGAGUUACUAUGAGAGACUUGAAGACGUUAGCAUCUUCACGUAAUCGGCAUGACACAUAACCUGUGAUAGCACUGAGCUUUUAUGUCUUUAUUCAGGUUGAGGAAUGUGCACAAAUAAUGCAAAUAUAAUUAUUUUUAGUCCUGAGGAUUAGGCAACUUGAGGCAUGUUCACAUUACCUGGUGAUGUAAAUACCAAUGUUACGUUGAAUUUUUUUUAAAGAAAGGCCUAUUCACCACUGAAAUAAUCUCAACAGUAUCAUUAACUUUAAAAAUGUUGUAUUGGACAGUAUUAGUUACCCGAUAUGUAUUUGAUCUGGGGUUAUUUGAUUUGUACUGUGGUCUUUUUUCUCCAGUGUUAUAUGCAUUAUGUAUAAUACAUUGGUUGAGGGUGGGGUCACGGCUUGGAAAGGUGUGGGCUUUGACUUGCUUGGAAUUGCUUUUUAUUCUGUAAGUUCUGUGACCUCAUGCACUGUAAAUAUUGAUGCUACCACACCCGAGCACAUGUGAAAUAAAACUGGCUCUUCGGUAUUUGGUUCCAAUGCGAAUUAAUUAAAAAGGGGUUGGGGAAGUAGGUGUCCAGUAAUUAAGAAUCCACCUGCCAAUGCAGAGGACAUGGGUUCCAUCCCUGGUUGGGGAAGAUCCCACAUGCCACGGAGCAACUAAGCCUGUGCGCCACAACUACUGAGACCGUGCUCUAGAG